rnacentral:lncRNA from 1 species
AUGUCCUCCCCUCCUGCUUCUAACUUAGAACUGUUUUGUUUAGAGUACAGUCUAAACCAACAUCAGUUAGCCUUCUUUUUUUUUUUUUUUUCUUUUUUGGAAUCUUCCUUGUUAAUAAACGGAACCCAAGAAGAGAUUCUUCUUUUCCCUGGACAUGGCGAUGUGUUGACGUGGAGUCUGGAGUACAGUAAAUCUUUCCACAUGAGGGAAGCCAGCCUGAAAAUGAAGCCAAUACAUGGAGGAGGGAAAGAAAGCAAGAGGGGAGAAGAGAAAGAGUGCAGAGCUGGCCCUGAAGCCACCCAACCUCCAGAUUUCCAGAUAUAUGAGCAAGCGUGACUUGGAUUUUCUGUUGCUGGCAACCCAGUGCGUCUGAACUGAUAUAUUAGUGAUUAUACAUCAGAAACUACUACAAACAGUGAAAGGUGAGGAAAUGGUGGAGAGACCUGAGUUUUGGCCCCAUUUCUGCCUCGUACCUCCCAGCCCAAGCAUUAGCCUCUGGGCCACAGCUUUGCUGUGAGAGCGUAAGGGAACUGUGUAGACCAGAGCACAGAGGAUUCUUCUUCCCCAGGGGCUCUUAUAAUUAAACAGGUCAGGGGCAAAACUAGGGUAAUGCAGGAACAAACAAACAGCUGCUCUCUCAAAGGCUUGAACAUGCCAGGUUCCCCUUUGGCCCAAGUUUUCAUGUGUUCUCUACACUUGGCAGCUGGCUGGGAAGUGGUGGGAGGUAGGAAGGAGACGGAAAUGCCUUCAAGUGGAAUUAGGUCAAAGCUGAUCAUUAAACAGCGUAUGGAUUGGGGAGUUUGCCUCCCCUUGUCUCUGUUCUGAAAGAAGCACGGGGAAAACAGUCGGCUCCCUUCAGGAGGAGCAGGAAGGGGGAUGCCAGAUGUGCCAGGCGGGUUACCUUCCUUCUCUUCUGGUGUCCUCACAGCAGGUGUGGGGGGGGUGCGCCUCUGUUUCUCAGACGCAGAAGUGGUCCCAAGAGGUAAAGUCACCUGCUCUGGGUAUGAACUUGACCUUGGUGCCCUGAGAUUCCAGACCCAAUGCUCUUUUUGAUACCGCCCACUGGCUCCCAGGAAAACACAGAAACCUACUCCAUUUGAUAUUUGAGUUCCAAAGGUUCAAACAGGAGCAUUCCAGGAGGGCCAAGGGAAAGUGUUGUCUCCUCAGGUGAACUUCAAUUGUUCUUCCUUCCCUGAGGGAGGCAACCAUGCUAUCAGAAGAACGUGGUUGUAUUUGUACAUACCAAGGGUAUGUUGGAAGGACACUCAAGAGCUGGUCAUAGUGGGUGAUCUGAGGGUGGCGGGGAAGGAAGCCUGGUCACCGAG